CGGCCGCCGCGCGUCGAGCACCAUGGCCGCCGCCGCGCCCGACGACGCCAAGCUAGACUCCUUCCUCCAAUGGCUCCAGGCCAACGGCGCCGACCCCCGCGGCUGCUCGAUCCGCCGCUGCCGCCACGAGGGGUCUGGGGUGUUCUCCACCGCCGCCGAGGAUGGCGCCACCGACGAGGUGGUGAUGGUGGUGCCGCUCGAUCUCGUCAUCACUCCGAUGCGGGUGCUGCAGGACCCCCUCGUCGGGCCGCGGUGCCGCGCGCUCUUCGAGGAAGGUGGCGUUGAUGACCGCCUCCUCGUCAUGCUCUUCCUCAUGGUCGAGCGGCUCCGACCUAGCUCCCUCUGGAAGCCGUAUCUCGAUAUGCUUCCAAGCACCUUCGGGAGUUCCAUUUGGUUCACGGAAGACGAGCUUGCUGAGUUGGAAGGGACGACACUGCACCGUGCUACCAUGAUGCAGAGGAAGUCAUUGCAAACCUUAUUCGAUAAUAAGGUUAAAGGUCUGGUUGGGGAGCUCUUAAAUGUCGAUGAAUCAGGAAGCUCAAUUGAAGCACGGUUUGAAGACUUCCUUUGGGUCCUUGGCAUAGUUGUGGGUUCACUUCCCUGCUUUCUCUUUUUAUGUUACUCAGCAGCACGACUCUAUGGCAGGGCAAACUCAAUAUUCUGGACUCGAGCAUUGAACAUACCAUUGCCUCGCUCUUUUGUUUUUUCGGAAUCACUAGACGGGAAACAGACCAAAACUGGUGAUGAUUCAAGUCUCAGUGCCCGUCAGGGAACUGGCAUUACAGCUAAGAAUAGCAGUGAUGAUGAUAAUCCUAAAUCUAGUAAUACAGAGUCAAUUUGGGUUGAGGGCCUUGUCCCCGGAAUCGACUUUUGUAAUCAUAAUGUAAAGGCGCUGGCAACAUGGGAAAUUGAUUCUGCAGGAGAUGUUACUGGAAUUCCUUCUUCAAUGUACCUUGUACUAGCUGAUAAAAGCUUUGUUAAGGCUGGAACAGAGAUAUGCAUAAAUUAUGGCAACAAAGGAAAUGAGGAACUACUAUACCUCUAUGGAUUUGUAAUUGAUAACAAUCUUGACGAUUAUCUCAUGGUUAAUUAUCCAGUGGAAGCUCUUAGAGAGGUCCAAUCUGCUGGUAUUAAGAUGAAGCUACUGGAGAUACAGAAUGCCGAAUUGCGAUGUCUUUUACCUCGGAGUUUGCUUGAUAACGGAUUUUUUGGUAGCUGUUCUGGUGAAAACAAGGAUAACAAAAAUCAUGCAAGCCUUUUGUCUAGUUAUAGCUGGAGUGGUCAACGCAAAGUUCCAUCAUAUAUCCAGAAAGUUGUUUUCCCUGAGGAAUUUAUAAGCACACUACGUACAAUUGCUCUGCAAGAACAUGAGCUUGAGCUUGCUGCUUCAUUGCUGGGAGAGAUUGGAUCUAAUGAAGAUAGAGAACCUUCCAGUGAAGAGGUCUGCAGUGCCAUAUGGGAGGUCAGCGGUGAUAAUGGAGCACUUAGUUUGCUUGUAGAUCUUCUUAGAGUCAAAAUAACUGAACUUGAAGAGGGCACUGGAACUGAAGCAUCUGACAGCCAACUACUUGACAAAUUCGAUCUCAGUGAUUCAGAAGACCCAUCGAGAAGUGAUGGGAGCAACCAGACCAAGUCAAAAAUAAAUAUCAGGUCGUGUAUCGUGUACCGCAGAGGCCAAAAGCAGCUGACAAAGUUAUUCCUCAGGGAGGCAGAACAUCUUCUGGAGCUGUCGUCAAAAGAAGAGACCUAAGAAAGUACUUACCGGAGUAACGGGCUUCAUCCUCUCCUAGCCUCGUCGAUGAUCGAUCAGGGAAGUGGACAGUGGCGGGGCACAGCCGAUGAGGCUCGUCUGACGGGCAAUCGAAGGACGUUCUUAUCACUAACGCGUGAGCCUGAUGGAUCUAUAAUAUGCCAAUGCUCCACGUCACUCUGAAUUGUCGGAGGAAAGGAACUACUACUCUGUUCCACUCAAAUCCUAAUGCACCUUUAGUAGUUGUACCAAAAUAUUAAGAUGUUUUUUAUUCAUAUAUAUAAGAAGUUAUUACCCGACUCCGUUCAAAAAUAUAAAUUAUUUUUAGAUUGUUUAGCAGAGAUAAGGUUGAGAAUACUACAAUGUUCUCCAUAAAUAAAGAAUGGAUGGAGUCACGAGGAUGGGAUAAGAUUGAAAGAAUUUUGAACGUGAAGUAUUUUGAGGAA